GGGGUCGACUGGUUUUGACUACAAGAGAGAUGAUACAGUAAGCAUGCCGAGCUUUGUUUGUUGGCUCGUAAAUAUCAACUUUCAACGCUUUAAAUGGCGAAAACAACUAUGCUCUCGCAGCAUAAUCUGUCUAAGACGAUUAUAGCUUAAUCCUAGCCCGAAGUACAGUACGGCAGGACGAGAAUCCCAUCAACAUUCUGUCUACCGGUGUUGAUAUACGGGGUUUCAUUCAGGUGGAAUAGUUGGCAAGAAUUCUGGACUUGUCAGUGAAACCUAACAGAAUAAGCUUAAAGUAGGCCGCAGUUAGUCAGCUUUAAGUCGAAAAUUAAGUAACUGCUAAGCAUGUAGAAAGCUCUAUUGUUCCUUGUUUGGACGAGGGUUCGAAUCCCUCCGGCUCCACAA
rnacentral:tmRNA from 1 species